UGCGCGGGGUAGCGGUGGGUGGCCGCAGAGACCAGUGAGAAGCGACUGUUUACUAAAAACACAGGUCCGUGCGAAGUCGUAAGACGAUGUAUACGGACUGACGCCUGCCCGGUGCUGGAACGUUAAGGGGACGGGUUAGCUGCUUCGGUGGCGAAGCUCAGAACUCAAGCGCCAGUAAACGGCGGUGGUAACUAUAACCAUCCUAAGGUAGCGAAAUUCCUUGUCGGGUAAGUUCCGACCUGCACGAAUGGCGUAACGACUUCUCAGCUGUCUCAACCACAGGCUCGGCGAAAUUGCACUACGAGUAAAGAUGCUCGUUACGCGCGGCAGGACGGAAAGACCCCGGGACCUUUACUAUAGCUUGAUAUUGGUGUUCGGUUCGGCUUGUGUAGGAUAGGUGGGAGACUGUGAAGCGGGCACGCCAGUGUUCGUGGAGUCGCCGUUGAAAUACCACUCUGGUCGAAUUGGAUGUCUAACUUCGGUCCGUGAUCCGGAUCAGGGACAGUGUCAGGUGGGUAGUUUAACUGGGGCGGUUGCCUCCCAAAAUGUAACGGAGGCGCCCAAAGGUUCCCUCAGCCUGGUUGGCAAUCAGGUGUCGAGUGCAAGUGCACAAGGGAGCUUGACUGUGAGACCGACGGGUCGAGCAGGAGCGAAAGCUGGGACUAGUGACCCGGCACCGGCAUGUGGAAGCGGUGUCGCUCAACGGAUAAAAGGUACCCCGGGGAUAACAGGCUGAUCUUCCCCAAGAGUCCAUAUCGACGGGAUGGUUUGGCACCUCGAUGUCGGCUCGUCGCAUCCUGGGGCUGGAGUAGGUCCCAAGGGUUGGGCUGUUCGCCCAUUAAAGCGGUACGCGAGCUGGGUUUAGAACGUCGUGAGACAGUUCGGUCCCUAUCCGCCGUGCGCGUAAGAGACUUGAGAAGAGCUGUCCCUAGUACGAGAGGACCGGGACGGACGAACCUCUGGUGUGCCAGUUGUACCGCCAGGUGCACUGCUGGUUGGCUACGUUCGGCAGGGAUAACCGCUGAAAGCAUCUAAGCGGGAAGCUCGCUUCAAGAUGAGGUCUCUCACCGGGUGAACCGGGUAAGGCCCCCGCCCAGACCAGCGGGUUGAUAGGCCGGAAGUGGAAGCAUCGUGAGGUGUGGAGCUGACCGGUACUAAUAGGCCGAGGGCUUGACCACACACCA
rnacentral:rRNA from 1 species